rnacentral:rRNA from 1 species
UACGGGAGGCUGCAGUGGGGAAUAUUGGACAAUGGGCGAAAGCCUGAUCCAGCCAUGCCGCGUGUGUGAAGAAGGCCUUCGGGUUGUAAAGCACUUUCAGUGGGGAAGAAAGCCUUGGGGCUAAUACCCUCGAGGAAGGACAUCACCCACAGAAGAAGCACCGGCUAACUCCGUGCCAGCAGCCGCGGUAAUACGGAGGGUGCGAGCGUUAAUCGGAAUUACUGGGCGUAAAGCGCGCGUAGGCGGUCUGAUAAGCCGGUUGUGAAAGCCCCGGGCUCAACCUGGGAACGGCAUCCGAAACUGUCAGGCUAGAGUGCAGGAGAGGAAGGUAGAAUUCCCGGUGUAGCGGUGAAAUGCGUAGAGAUCGGGAGGAAUACCAGUGGCGAAGGCGGCCUUCUGGACUGACACUGACGCUGAGGUGCGAAAGCGUGGGUAGCAAACAGGAUUAGAUACCCCAGUAGUC